rnacentral:rRNA from 1 species
GACGAACGCUGGCGGCGUGCCUAACACAUGCAAGUCGAACGCUGAAGCUUGGUGCUUGCACUGGGUGGAUGAGUGGCGAACGGGUGAGUAAUACGUGAGUAACCUGCCCUUGACUCUGGGAUAAGCCUGGGAAACUGGGUCUAAUACUGGAUACGACAUGCCACUGCAUGGUGGUGUGUGGAAAGGGUUUUACUGGUUUUGGAUGGGCUCACGGCCUAUCAGCUUGUUGGUGGGGUAAUGGCCUACCAAGGCGACGACGGGUAGCCGGCCUGAGAGGGUGACCGGCCACACUGGGACUGAGACACGGCCCAGACUCCUACGGGAGGCAGCAGUGGGGAAUAUUGCACAAUGGGCGGAAGCCUGAUGCAGCGACGCCGCGUGAGGGAUGACGGCCUUCGGGUUGUAAACCUCUUUCAGCACGGAAGAAGCGAGAGUGACGGUACGUGCAGAAGAAGCGCCGGCUAACUACGUG